AUUGAACGCUGGCGGCAGGCUUAACACAUGCAAGUCGAACGGUAACAUAAAGAAACUUGCUUCUUUGAUGACGAGUGGCGGACGGGUGAGUAAUGCUUGGGAAUCUAGCUUAUGGAGGGGGAUAACUACGGGAAACUGUAGCUAAUACCGCGUAGAAUCGAGAGAUGAAAGUGUGGGACCUUCGGGCCACAUGCCAUAGGAUGAGCCCAAGUGGGAUUAGGUAGUUGGUGAGGUAAAGGCUCACCAAGCCGACGAUCUCUAGCUGGUCUGAGAGGAUGACCAGCCACACUGGGACUGAGACACGGCCCAGACUCCUACGGGAGGCAGCAGUGGGGAAUAUUGCGCAAUGGGGGCAACCCUGACGCAGCCAUGCCGCGUGAAUGAAGAAGGCCUUCGGGUUGUAAAGUUCUUUCGGUAGCGAGGAAGGCAUUUAGUUUAAUAGACUAGAUGAUUGACGUUAACUACAGAAGAAGCACCGGCUAACUCCGUGCCAGCAGCCGCGGUAAUACGGAGGGUGCGAGCGUUAAUCGGAAUAACUGGGCGUAAAGGGCACGCAGGCGGUGACUUAAGUGAGGUGUGAAAGCCCCGGGCUUAACCUGGGAAUUGCAUUUCAUACUGGGUCGCUAGAGUACUUUAGGGAGGGGUAGAAUUCCACGUGUAGCGGUGAAAUGCGUAGAGAUGUGGAGGAAUACCGAAGGCGAAGGCAGCCCCUUGGGAAUGUACUGACGCUCAUGUGCGAAAGCGUGGGGAGCAAACAGG
rnacentral:rRNA from 1 species